AGGGUUUGAUUAUGGCUCAGGAUGAACGCUAGCGGCAGGCUUAACACAUGCAAGUCGAGGGGUAAGGCUUUCUUCGGAGAGUACACGACCGGCGCACGGGUGAGUAACGCGUAUGCAACCUGCCUCUUACAGGGAGAUAGCCCGAAGAAAUUUGGAUUAAUAUCCCAUAGUUCAUAGAUAUCGCAUGAUAUUUAUGGUAAAGCCCCGGCGGUAAGAGAUGGGCAUGCGUGACAUUAGCUAGUUGGUGAGGUAACGGCUCACCAAGGCCACGAUGUCUAGGGGGUCUGAAAGGAUGAUCCCCCACACUGGUACUGAGACACGGACCAGACUCCUACGGGAGGCAGCAGUGAGGAAUAUUGCGCAAUGGAGGCAACUCUGACGCAGCCAUGCCGCGUGAAGGAAGACGGCCCUACGGGUUGUAAACUUCUUUUCUUAGCUAAGAAUUAUCGAUACGUGUAUUGGUUUGACUAGCUUUGGGAUAAGCAUCGGCUAACUCCGUGCCAGCAGCCGCGGUAAUACGGAGGAUGCAAGCGUUAUCCGGAUUCACUAGGUUUAAAGGGUGCGUAGGCGGGACAGUAAGUCAGUGGUGAAAUCUUGCGGCUUAACCGUAAAAUAGCCAUUGAUACUGUUGUCCUUGAGUUCGGUUGAGGUAGGCGGAAUGAGUAAUGUAGCGGUGAAAUGCUUAGAUAUUACUCAGAACACCGAUUGCGAAGGCAGCUUACUAAACCGAAACUGACGCUGAGUCACGAAAGCGUGGGGAGCGAACAGGAUUAGAUACCCUGGUAGUCCACGCCGUAAACGUUGAUUACUCGUUGUUGGCAAUACAUCGUCAGCGACUGAGCGAAGGCAUUAAGUAAUCCACCUGGGGAGUACGUCAGCAAUGAUGAAACUCAAAGGAAUUGACGGGGGCCCGCACAAGCGGAGGAACAUGUGGUUUAAUUCGAUGAUACGCGAGGAACCUUACCUGGGCUUAAAUGUAUUGUGCAUAGAGUAGAAAUACUCUUUUCCUUCGGGACUCUUUACAAGGUGCUGCAUGGUUGUCGUCAGCUCGUGCCGUGAGGUGUCGGGUUAAGUCCCAUAACGAGCGCAACCCUCAUUGUCAGUUGCCAGCACAUAAUGGUGGGGACUCUGAUAAAACUGCCGGUGCAAACCGUGAGGAAGGUGAGGAUGACGUCAAAUCAGCACGGCCCUUAUGUCCAGGGCUACACACGUGUUACAAUGGUCAGUACAGUGGGCAGCUACCACGCGAGUGGAUGCUAAUCUCGAAAGUGCGUCUCAGUUCGGAUUGAAGUCUGCAACUCGACUUCAUGAAGCUGGAAUCGCUAGUAAUCGCGCAUCAGCCAUGGCGCGGUGAAUACGUUCCCGGGCCUUGUACACACCGCCCGUCAAGCCAUGGAAGCUGAGGGUGCCUGAAGUCGGUGACCGAAAGGAGCUGCCUAGGGCAAAAUCGGUAACUGGGGCUAAGUCGUAACAAGGUAACC
rnacentral:rRNA from 1 species